UGCGCUGGUGAAGGCGAAAUGGGGCGCGGUCGAAAUCGCUCCCGUCGGACGCUGCUAUGAGAUUCCCGUGCCGGGCCCGCAUGCGGGAACGUUUGACCAGCCAUUUCCGCAAAUACGAGCGAUGCGCCGUAGAUACAUAGCACCUUUUCGUAUGUUAUACGGUGGUGGCCCCCUGCCGACGUGGGGUAUUGGACAGGUUCCACCGAGCCCAGUUAAUUCGAAAUCCAAUCACCUCCUCCCUGCGUCAGACGAGACACACACCCGCAGGCGAGAGCGGAUCCUCCGGCUAGAUCCCGACGCCGCAGGCGAUGCAGGUCGAUGGCCGCCCCUAAGGUUCACUCAGCUUGGAUUUUCCAUCCCUAGAUUCGCCUUGGCUCGACCGAGAAGAAGCAAACCAGACGGGAGAUGAGGGCACCAGCCCAAGCCGGAGCGUCGACUCUACGAGCUCUGGAAGCAACGGCCGCGCCGGAUUUCGCGGAGGUAGCGGAAGUUCCGAUGCCUUCUCCAGAUGAAGCCGCGGCCCAUCUCUCCAAUUCACCACCAUCGCCUGGGUCAUGGAACAACAGGUCAUAUAACAACCAAGCUUAAGGACUGCCGCUGGAGGAUCCCCCCCUUCGCGUUUUGGAAUCGCUCCUAUUUAUUGUUCAUCAUGAUAUAGUUUUAUGGCUUCGUAAUUCAGGCCAGAUGAUAACCAAACAUAUGAAUUAUCCCAUCUGCGCCUCACAAUCGCCUCCAUCUCCACAUCCAUGGAAGAAGAGGUUCGUUGAUUUCCUGUCAAUAUCAGGAUGCUCAUUGUUGCUCUCGUAUGUUAGCAGAAUUAUUUUCCUAGUUUUAGUGUGCCAAGGCGGGUCGGUAGUUGCGGCUGAAAUUAUACCUAUGAGGUCAUGCAAAAUCGCGGACAAAUGCUAUUUUCAAAUGAAUUUCUUUUAACAAGCUGACAGCUAAUGCGUUUGAUUGCAAUUCAGCAUGUCUGGUGUGAUGUACAGUGUCAUUUGUAGAUGCAGGUGUAGCAUCUCCAACAUUUCAAUAAGGGCCGGCUUAUUUUGACCUAAGUUGGUGCAUUCAUUGUUUAGUUGUAUUUUCCAAGUAACAAAUGAUUAGUCCCCAAUAACAUGUCCUUUUUUAAGUUCUGGAUUUGAGUUCAGAUAUAGUCCUUCAAUUCUCCAGGCCCUUUGCACGAGCCCGAGUUAUUCAAUGCCAAGUUCCGAUGAGGAUUAUAUGCAGUACAGUAGCAUUUCAUCUAUGUAUUGCAUCUCUGAUUUGCCCUUAGGUUUCAAAUUUCCAUCGCAGUUACUUAGGCUCUUCCUGUAUUUAAAAAUUCACAC